GGAGGAAUGGCUGAGGGGUUAAAAGCGACAGACUGUAAAUUUGUUGAGAAAUCUACAUAGGUUCAAAUCCUAUUUCCUCCA
rnacentral:tRNA from 1 species